UGGCCGAGUGGUUAAGUUCGCGCGCUCCGCUGCAGGUGGCCCAGUGUUUCGUUGGUUUGAGUCCUUGGUGCAGACAUGGCACCGCUCAUCGAGCCACGCUAAGGCAGCAUCCCACAUGCCACAACUAGAAGGAUCCACAACUAAGAAUAUACAACUAUGUACCUGGGGGCUUUGGGGAGAAAAAGGAAAAAAACAAAAUCUUAAAAAGAUAAAUAAAUAAAUAAAAUUUCUGUUUACUGUUUGUAAAGCAAUAAGAUGAAACGAGAGAACCCAGUCUUAGCCGGGUGAGUUCAAAAUCGGGUGAGUCAUGGUCAUGUAGACUGUGUCCUAAAAAUAUGGGGUGACAUCCCCACGUGAAGACAGAGGGAGCUGGUAAAUAGCGAAAAUGGAAUCCCAAAUGAAGUCAUAGCUUCAGAAUCUUUUCUCAACAAAGAGCUGAGAGAGAACCGAAUGUUCUCAGAUGACCUCAUUUAACCAGCGGUGGUCUGGGGGCUUGGUGAAGAAUCCUACAACAUAAAUGAGAGGGUAGUGAGCCAAGACGUGGGCACAAGGGCAGCAGCUGUGACAACUGCAGCUUAGGAAAAGAAAGUCCGCCUCCCCACCGUGGUGGCGUGUACCCCUGAGGCCCCAGUAGAUGCUUCCAUUGCAUGUGGCCUUGCUGAGCAAUGACACCAAGAUUAGACCGGACAAGGCAGAACCAAAGCCAGGACAAGUGCUCAGAACUGGGCCACCAGCCACAAACCACUUUCCAGAGGAGGAAAACAAAGCAACGGAGAGCUAACUGCCUGGCUAUUCUGGGAUCAAAGCCUCAGGAUUUCUCCAGGUGGAGGAAAGUGUCUGGACGAGAAGCCCGGAACCACAAGAAGAGGCCGAACAUGUGUCCUCGCAUGACCUCUGCCCUGGUCACUGAGAGCACGGAGGCCAGGUGUGCAUGUGGACUCCAGAUGCUUCACUCAGCGAACAAGAUGGAACAAGAUGAAGAAGCCGAUGGCCGAUCUGAGACCAUUGCAGAAGUGCAGGAGCGGGAAGCAAGACCAGGGACUAUGGAACGGGGCUGA
rnacentral:lncRNA from 1 species